rnacentral:rRNA from 1 species
AAUAGUCCUGUAUGUUAAACGAGAAGACUUCAGAUAUGAUCCAGAGUACCACGGGACACGUGAAACCCUGUGGGAAGCAGGAGGGACCACCCUCCAAGGCUAAAUACUACCUAGUGACCGAUAGCGUAUAGUACCGUGAGGGAAAGGUGAAAAGAACCCCGGGAGGGGAGUGAAAUAGAACCUGAAACCCUGCACUUACAAGCUGUGGAAGCACAUUUCUUGUGUGACCGCGUACUUUUUGUAGAACGGGCCAACGAGUUACGUUAAGUAGCAAGGUUAAGCACUUAAGGUGUGGAGCCGUAGCGAAAGCGAGUUUUAACUGAGCGUUCAGUUACUUGACGUAGACCCGAAACCGGGCGACCUACCCAUGAGCAGGAUGAAGCGAAAGUAAAAUUUCGUGGAGGUCCGAACCCACGAGCGUUGAAAAGCUCGGGGAUGACUUGUGGGUAGCGGUGAAAUUCCAAUCGAGCCCGGAGAUAGCUGGUUCUCCCCGAAAUAGCUUUAGGGCUAGCCUCAAGGUGAGAGAUACGGAGGUAGAGCACUGAAUGUCCUAGGGGGUAUUGCACCUACCGAAGACUAUCAAACUCCGAAUGCCGUCAUCUUAUACUUGGGAGUCAGACUGUGGGUGAUAAGAUUCAUAGUCGAAAGGGCAACAGCCCAGAUCGUCAGCUAAGGUCCCUAAAUGUAAGUUAAGUGGUAAAGGAUGUGGGAUUGCACAGACAACCAGGAUGUUGGCUUAGAAGCAGCCACUCAUUCAAAGAGUGCGUAAUAGCUCACUGGUCGAGUGAUCCUGCGCCGAAGAUUUCCGGGGCUAAAACUUACUACCGAAGCUACGGCAUCAGUAAUGAUGGGUAGGGGAGCUUCCCAUA